ACUGAACACACACCAACACACACGCGCACGUACUUACACGUGCAUUGCAUUAGCCACCUAAAACAAAUCAGGUGUGCUGUAUAUUAAAUGCAAAGCAACGCAUUAUAUUUCUAUUGGGUGACUAGGCCACGCGCUCACAGAGCCAACAAAAGGACCGCCACCCUGCGCGGUGCAUCUGUUCCACGAGUUCCGUUCCGCGGAUGUCGAUUGCCGGGGCAAACGCACGGACGAGCUGAUGGGGGUUUUUUUUCUUCCCCCAAGAAUCAGCUGCCUCGUAUCGCAGGGUCGGAGCGUGGCGUCGUCAUGGGAAAAUAACAGGGAGCUGCUUGUUUCUCCUGCUGAGCGACGCGUGCAGGAAGGGCGAGCUCCGGCUUGAGUCAAGAGGCGUUCGCUUGUGUGCCUGGGGUCAUAUCCGUGGAAUUGUUUGUGACUUUUUUUCUUUUGGAACCAAGACAACUAGCCCCUGGAUACACGUAAUGGAGUGCAGAAGAGCGGACAGAGCAAGGCACACUGACGUGCUGUCGAUGAGCCUGAAGUCUGUCCCAAGCCGACAGACCGGGGGUGCAGAGCAGGCCAAGUACCGCCGAUUAGCACGGUCUGCUACGUCAUAUGCGAAAGAAGUUCGACGUACAAGCAUACAAGCAGCAGCCUGAUUUGCCUCCGCUGCUGUGGCUACGUGGAGAGGUGGCCCACGUGACUCAUGAGGCAGGUGAAAGUCAGAAGCCAUCGUUUACUCUCCAUCACCCUGCAGGGACCUUUUUCUCCGGGAAUUUAGAUCUCCUGGUGAAGCCAUUAGUAAUCGUGCAAAUCAUUGGGGGGCGGUGGCAGGGGGGGGGUUGCUCCUUGUCGGUUGCUGCUCCCACGAUCUGGACCUUGUAACAAUUUUAACUUCAUGCAGAUGACACUUUCAUUAUUGUUAUUUGUUUUGCGUUGUUGUUGUUAUUAUUAGUAUUGCUAUGAUGCUUGUUUACCCAGGAAAAGGCUCACUGAGUCUCGAGACUAUUUUUGCUGGAUGUUCAUGCCGAGUUUUUCGUUUGCCGCGUGUGAUCUCUGUUGAGUAAUUUGCAGGUAACGUUGCAGCAUCGGGAUGUUUGGCCAAUACCGGUUGAAGUGUAUUAGCGUUCUUUUUGUUUGACCAUUGGAGGAAAUCAGAGAAGCUGAAGGAAAACCAUGAAGAACAGGGGGAGAACAUACAAACACCACAGAGAAAGGCACUUCUUGCCCUUCUUGCUGUGAGGCACACGUGUUCUGCCACCACUGUUUAGGUGUUUUAUGUUCGCAAAAAGCCUCUAUUUUUAUAAAUGUAUUUUUAAAAAAAUGCAUCUCUGCUUUUUUUAAUUGUAUGCAAUUGAUUAGUCAUGUCAAUAGUUAUUUUGUUGUAAGGUAUCUGGAGUUGUGGGACAUUGAAAGAAGCAAAUGUGAAUUGCCUAAUUGAGUAAAUGUUCAUUUUAUUUACAAACCAUAUAGUCUAUGUUGUGUUAUUGAAUAUGUAAAAUUGUGAUGUAAAGACCAGUGUUUAAUAUCAUCUGGAACAGCCCGGAUUGCUGUUUUGGGAAUUAUUUUGGCACACCACGUCCAUCCUCUGAACAGGUUUUUAAUAAUAGGAUUAUAGGAAUAUAGGGUACAAUAAUAUAGGAUUAUUCUGAAUAGGCGUACCUUAUACUGCAGCGAUAGUGCCUUACACCGAUAAUCCUUACUCCUCUCCAGCCUAGCGGCAUUUAGGAAAAUAUCGAGUGGCAAAAAUAAGCUGUGCUUAGAAGUAAUAAGUACCAUAGAAACUGAACCAAUUUCUAUAAUAAAUACUAAAUGUGUGGGUCCAGGGCGAUAUAAUGUUGUGUUUACAAUCUCAGGCACAUUUUUCUUUCGGUAAAUAUCAUCACACUGGCUCCAACCAGGCCUGGCAAACGUUGUUUCCGUUGGCAGUAGCAACGGAAGAUGUGAAGGAAUGAGGGCCCACUGAGAUAGCAUUAUUAUCCUACACUGGUGGGUCCAUAAAAUAUCUUCUCGACAGGGCUACUCAUGAGCCCGACGGCCCUGUCAAGGUGACCGCAAUCUCUGAACUCCCUCGGUUCCAUCCCUCGAGUUGCCCCUGAGUAAGACACAAGAGGAGUUUCCAUGCACGCUGAGUGAGUUGGAUCGCCCACGGCCAACAGCUCGAAUUUGGUUCGGAGUGGUAACGCAGCGAUUGGCGGUAUUCCACAUUGAAACCAGCGACAUUGAGUUUGGUGCAAUCAAUUUCUACGUGAUAAACCACUUUGUUGAGCUAUAAUUUGUGGCCAGAUCGCUUCUGAAAAAGAGCUAUACAGUUCAGUGGGCCUUACCUCGUAAAAUAAAAAAAAAUUGUUGAGUUUUUAGUUUAAUGUCCAUAUUGGAGUGCAGGUCACAGCGAUACACUUAAAAAAAUAACCAGAAUAGAAGUUUCUGGCCCAGGAUAAUGUAAAAUUAAUUGACAGAUAGGGUAGACAACUUGGAAGUAUGACACGUGGGAGGCUUUCGCGACCAAUAUCAUCCAUAAUAGAGGUUUGUUGGGUUAGGUCGCGUAAAUAUAUUAAUGUGUC